rnacentral:snRNA from 1 species
UGCCACGAUCCACUGAGAU